CAGUAGCCACGGGAAUACGGAGGGAGCUAGCGUUGUUCGGAAUUACUGGGCGUAAAGCACGCGUAGGCGGUUACUCAAGUCAGAGGUGAAAGCCCGGGGCUCAACCCCGGAACUGCCUUUGAAACUAGGUGACUAGAAUCUUGGAGAGGUCAGUGGAAUUCCGAGUGUAGAGGUGAAAUUCGUAGAUAUUCGGAAGAACACCAGUGGCGAAGGCGACUGACUGGUCAAGUAUUGACGCUGAGGUGCGAAAGCGUGGGGAGCAAACAGGAUUAGAUACCCCCGUAGUCCCUGUCUCUUAUAC
rnacentral:rRNA from 1 species